CCCUUAGAUGUUCGGGGCCGCACGCGCGCUACACUGAAGGAAUCAGCACGUCUUUCUCCUUGUCCGAAAGGACUGGGUAACCCGCUGAACCUCCUUCGUGCUAGGGAUUGGGGCUUGUAAUUCUUCCCCAUGAACGAGGAAUUCCCAGUAAGCGCGAGUCGUAAGCUCGCGUUGAUUACGUCCCUGCCCUUUGUACACACCGCCCGUCGCUACUACCGAUUGGAUGGUUUAGUGAGAUCCUCGGAUUGGUCCCGGCGCGGCCUCUGGUCGUGCCGGAGUGCCGAAAAGAAUGUCGAACUUGAUCAUCUAGAGGAAGUAAAAGUCGUAACA
rnacentral:rRNA from 1 species